UACGAAGGGGGGCUAGCGUUGCUCGGAUUUACUGGGCGUAAAGGGCGCGUAGGCGGACAGUUAAGUCGGGGGUGAAAGCCCGGGGCUCAACCUCGGAAUUGCCUUCGAUACUGGCUGUCUUGAGUACGGGAGAGGUGUGUGGAACUCCGAGUGUAGAGGUGAAAUUCGUAGAUAUUCGGAAGAACACCAGUGGCGAAGGCGACACACUGGCCCGUUACUGACGCUGAGGCGACGAAAGCGUGGGGAGCAAACAGG
rnacentral:rRNA from 1 species